rnacentral:rRNA from 1 species
CAGCAGCCGCGGUAAUACAGAGGGUGCGAGCGUUAAUCGGAUUUACUGGGCGUAAAGCGCACGCAGGCGGUCUGACAAGUCAGAUGUGAAAUCCCCGGGCUUAACCUGGGAACUGCAUUUGAAACUGUCAGGCUGGAGUCUUGUAGAGGGGGGUGGAAUUCCAGGUGUAGCGGUGAAAUGCGUAGAGAUCUGGAGGAAUACCGAUGGCGAAGGCAGCCAUCUGGCCUAAUACUGACGCUGAGGUACGAAAGCAUGGGGAGCAAACAGGAUUAGAUACCCCGGUAGUCCCUGUCUCUUAUAC